UUGAAGAAUUUGAAGACAUCAACUUGCAGACUUGGAGAAUUUAAAUACUUCAACUUGCAUACUUGGAGAUUUUAAAAACUCCAUCU
rnacentral:pre_miRNA from 1 species